rnacentral:lncRNA from 1 species
GAUGGAUGGAUUCCGGUGACUAACUAAAAUUAGGACGGCCGGACGGCCGGAGAUAGAUAGACACCAACAAUGUAUCUAAGUAGAUUUAUUUUUCACACUUGUGCAGGUGAGCGAAUGAAGCAAUAGUUGGUAACUUGGUAUCCACAACCUGACAUAAUUUCCGCCGCAAACAAAAAAUUCAAACAGAAUUAUGUAUAUACUCACCGCAUGCUUAUAGUGUGUUGCAUAAAAAGAAUGACCUGCAUUUGUCCUUCAUGGAAUUGAAUGUAAUAAUAAUAAUAAUCAUGAAAAAAAUUCCAAACAUGAAAAAAUAAGGGAUUUCAUUUCCGGAAAGAGUACCAAGUAUACUAGGGCAUCUCAAUUAGCAACACACAAGCCAACCCCUAAUUACAAUUUAAUGAUACACAAACCUCCACAUCUCUAUUUGUUUGCCUUCUUCCAUUUCGGCACGGCACAUAUAUAUUUAUAUAAGUCUGGUGGUCAAAUGUACAAUAUGCUGCAGACUGCCACAAAACCUAUCAAGCCUUCCUUGCUCACUUCCUGUUAUGUCUGCACCAAUGUUGAAAACACAAACACGUCAGUCGAUUUUUUUUUUCUUUUCCGAUCAAUUGCACUUCAUCACCUGGUAAACAAUUUGAAUGCAUCACUAGCUGAAUAUCCAUGCGACGAAAAGAAACAAGGACUACAUGAAUGAUGCUACUCACUGUGCCAAGCUUAAACGACAAAGAUAUACUACUACAAAUAUUGGAUAAAUCUUCCCAGUUUUCACCAUCACUGAAAUAAGAUGCCUAUUUUGGAAUCUCCCAGCUUGAUAAACCGAAAUCAGUUUAGGACAGAGGAAAUAAUGCAUGUGAAUCAACGAAACCACAAUAUGAUAUAUCAUCCAUGGACUAAGACAGUUAACCUAUAUAGCAUUAUAGCAUACUUCCAUAUCGAUGUUGGGAAGACUAGAGCCAUCUGUAUCUUCUAGGUAGAAGAGAAGCAAAACUAAACCGAAAAAUGAGUCAUGUGCACAUUUCUUCCUUCUUCAACAAGUAGCUAUCUAUAUGGUCUGCAUGGUAUAUUUAUCUAAAAACAAUCCAAUUUGAACCUAAAUAUCCCCGUUAUUCCCCAAAACUGCAAAUUUGCAUCCUUAGGAGAGGAGAGCUGUACUCACCGUCAGAUGUCCUUCAGGCACACCCUCAUUUCCAGCACUUGAAACUUCUGUAGUUUGUACAUCAGGUUAAACUAUGAAAACAUUCAUGUUGGUUCUUCUUUACAUGGGCCACAAGUACAUCAUGACAG